AUGAUAAGACAAAAGUUAAAAGGGAAACAGGUGAAAGACCUGUACGAACUCGUCACUGUAAUUAUGGAGUAUAAGAUAUAGAGUGCAUUUACUGUACAGUCACUGAAUAUUUUGGGAAGGCAUAUCUUAUGUGUUGAUAUAAAAGUCAGGAAACCUGCCAGCAGUUU
rnacentral:ncRNA from 1 species